GAUAGUUUGGCCGAGUGGUCUAAGGCGCCAGAUUUACGCUCUUGUCCGAAAGAGCGUGGGUUCAACUUCCACAGCUAUUA
rnacentral:tRNA from 1 species